CUUGGUUGGUGGAAUGGGAACUGGAUGUAGAUUUAGCACAGGUUGGAGGUUUAGAUGCAAAAUGCAAGCAGAAUAAGCAAACAUGGUGGCUUGAUGUAAACCACACCUAUAUUCUUCACUGUGGGAGGGAUUAGGAUUAAUUAUUUCACAUAUUCUGCUAUAUAUUCUGGUAAGUAUUAAGGACAAGAUUUAUUAAAGAAGAGUGAUACUUGAAACUUAAGCUACUGUAAGUUUUGCUCCUUCAAUAAAUUGUGGUAGCACGGUUUAGUGAAC